UACGUAGGGGGCAAGCGUUGUCCGGAAUCAUUGGGCGUAAAGCGCGUGUAGGCGGCCCGGUAAGUCCGCUGUGAAAGUCGGGGGCUCAACCCUCGAAUGCCGGUGGAUACUGUCGGGCUAGAGUGCGGAAGAGGCGAGUGGAAUUCCUCGUGUAGCGGUGAAAUGCGCAGAUAUCAGGAGGAACACCAAUUGCGAAGGCAGCUCGCUGGGACGUGACUGACGCUGAGACGCGAAAGCGUGGGGAGCAAACAGG
rnacentral:rRNA from 1 species